CACACACACACACACACACACACACACACACACACACACACACACACACACACAAUAUCAAGGAAACAUCUCUACAGAGAUCCAAUCACUCAAACUCACACGUAAUUCGCACACAAAAAAAAUCACAGCAUCAAAAUAAUUCGCACAAAGAAUAACGAAGCUUCGAACCAUCUCACCACUCGAAGAUCCGAACAAACCGAGCUGCUACGAGGAAAGGACUGGCGUGACGGGUUAUUUAUAGGCAGAUACGAGCACCUACAUCCGUUCCUGUCUGUGCUUCAUAGGAGAUAAGUUGUCUUCCUCGUUGCCUCACAUACUGGGCAAACAAUUCUGAUGGAAACCACAGCAAAGGGAGAACCAGAACUUGGCGAAGAACAGAGUGAGAGGAAGAGAGAGAAGAGAAGGGUCUCCCUGCGCCCCCGCCGCCGCUAAAGCAACGCUCGGGCCCUCGCCGCCGACGCUCGCAGGAGGGUGCCAGUUUGUCGACGGCCACGCCGAGGGAAAUGGGACGAGCUAAUAUGCCGGUGUUUUGAGAAUUCUAACGUCGCCGGGAGU